GCUGGGCAUUGUGGCUGGUGCCUGUCAUCCCAGCUCCCAGAGAGGCUGAGGCCAGCAGAUCGCUUGAGUUCAGGAUUUCNUUCUGGGCUGCAGUGGGCUGUGCUGAUCGGGUGUCCACACUAAGUUUGGCAUCAAUACGGUGAUCCCUGGGAAGCUUGGGGUUCCCCAGGUCACCUAAGGAGGGGUGAACCAGUCCAGGUCAGAAAUGGAGCAGGUCAAAACUCCCAUGCUGAUCAGUAGUGGGAUCGUGCCUGUGAAUAGCCUCUGCAGUGUAGCCUGGGCAAGAUGGUGAGACACGGUCUCU
rnacentral:SRP_RNA from 1 species